AGGGAUGUAGCUUAGUCCGUUUUAAAGUGUUGGUCUGGGGGACCAGAGAUCGGAGGUUCAAAUCCUCUCAUCCCGA
rnacentral:tRNA from 1 species